rfam:Naegleria gruberi genomic scaffold NAEGRscaffold_4, whole genome shotgun sequence.
GUUGAGGUGGCCGAGUGGUUAAGGCGCCAGCCUGCUAAGUUGGUGGAGAAAUCCGCGUGGGUUCGAAUCCCAUCCUCAACG